rnacentral:tRNA from 2 species
AGGGUAGUAGCUCAAUUGGUAGAGUAGCGGUCUCCAAAACCGUUGGUUCCGAGUUCGAGUCUCGGCUGCCCUGCCA